GCUUGGCGGAGGAACCCGCGGGGAUAGGGAGCACCUUCCUCAAAGCCAGGAGAAGGGGUCUCCCUGGACAAGGACAUCCUGCUCGCCCUGCCCGGGCACCUUCUAAAUUUCCAUUGCUGAGUGUUAGAAGUUAUCAGGAAUUUGACACAUCCAGAUAGAAAAACUGAAAAUAAAAAGUCACCCUUUUAUUCUCAUCCUCCCCAAACCCUUAAAAAGCUCACCGACAUAAUCCAGAAAUUGUUCCUCUGCUAUGAGUAUUUGUGUGGCUCUUUACUAUAACAACUUACUUUUUAAAAAAUUUUAAGACAUCUGAGCAGUUGAAAAGUCAAUGAAUUAAGAUAAACUUAUUGUAACUCAAAGUACGUUUCACCCAUUUUCACUUUGUUUAUUUGGUGACUUGAAAUUAGUGACUGAGAAAUGAAACUGGAAGUCCUGGACAUGGAUGUUUUCAUUCUUCCAUCAAAAUCUUUCACGCUUGGUAACCUUAAUAUACCGACUUUAAUAUCUAGACACACCUGAGUCUAUUUCCCCGUAUAACACACUACAGCCUUUCCUAUUCACCUAUUAACUUAAUAAAAAUAUAUUAAGGAG
rnacentral:lncRNA from 1 species